rnacentral:rRNA from 1 species
AAAGGAAUUGACGGGGCCCCGCACAAGCGGUGGAGUAUGUGGCUUAAUUCGAUGCAACGCGAAGAACCUUACCAGGAUUUGACAUGCAGGAGACAGGAGCUGAAAGGCUCUCUUCCUUCGGGACUGCUGCACAGGUGCUGCAUGGCUGUCGUCAGCUCGUGUCGUGAGAUGUUCGGUUAAGUCCGGCAACGAGCGCAACCCCUGUCCAUAGUUGCCAGCAUUCAGUUGGGGACUCUAUGGAGACUAACUCUUUUAAGAGUGGGAAGGUGGGGAUGACGUCAAGUCAGUAUGGCCCUUACAUCCUGGGCUGCACACGUACUACAAUGCUCGGUACAAUGGGUUCCAAUACCGCGAGGUUGAGGCAAUCCCCAAAGCCGAGCCCAGUUCAGAUUGGAGUCUGCAACCCGACUCCAUGAAGCCGGAAUCGCUAGUAAUGGCGCAUCAGCAACGGCGCCGUGAAUACGUUCCCGGGGCUUGCACACACCGCCCGU